rnacentral:rRNA from 1 species
AUGGACAUCCCGUCGUUCGUGACGUCGAUUCUGACGUCCUUGGCCGUCUUCGUGGUGCUGGUCCUGGUGUUCACGUGGCUGUCGCGGCGGCCGGGGAACGCGACGGUGUACUACCCGAGCUUGCUGCUGCGGGGGCUCGACCCGUGGGAGGGGCGCGGGCGGGGCACGCGCAGCCCGGUGGGCUGGAUCCGCCAGGCGUUCACGGCGUCCGAGCCUGACGUCGUCGCCGCCGGCGGAGUCGACGCCGCCGUCUACCUCGUCUUCCUCUCGUCCAUGUUUGCAAUCCUUGCGUUUGCCGGGAUUGUGUUGCUUCCAGUUCUGUUGCCAAUUGCUGGAACUGAUAAUGCCCUGGAGGAUUCUACUGGCAGAAUGCCGCCGAACGUCACACAUUUCGAAAUAUUGUCAUUGGCCAAUAUUGAAGACCGAAGUAUGAGGCUGUGGGCAUUCAUAUCAGCAGUCUAUUGGGUCUCCUUUGUCACCUAUUUCAUACUAUGGAGAUCCUACAAGCAUGUUUCGAAUCUGAGAGCAGCUGCAAGAUCAACAUCAGGCGUUAAACCACAGGAGUUUGCCAUGUUGGUGAGAGACGUUCCCAUUCCACCUCCUGAUCAAACUAUAAAGGACUCGGUGGACUCGUAUUUCCGAGCACUUCAUCCUGACACAUUCUACAAAGCAAUGGUUGUGACAGAAAUCACGAAGGCUGAUAAAAUUUUCCAAGAGAUUGAAGGUCACAAGCGCAAAAUUGCUCAUGCUGAAGCUGUCUAUGCAGAAUCAAAAACAGCAAACAGAUCUGAGGGCACGAGGCCUACUCAUAAGACGGGAUUCCUUGGCCUUAUCGGUAAAAAGGUCGAUACGAUUGAGCACACCAGGCAGACUGUGGUCUAUCUCAUUGUCUUCGUGACCGUGGCCUUCUACAUGAUUCCCAUCACUGCCAUCUCUGCUGUUACAACGCUGGAAAAACUGAGGGAGAAGCUGCCCUUUCUCAAGGUGGUUGUGGACCAACCGUUUGUUAAGACGGUCUUACAGGCUUACCUCCCGCAGAUCGCACUUAUUGUUUUCCUCGCUGUGCUGCCAACUCUUCUCGUGUCCCUGUCAAAGUCGGAAGGAAUUCCUUCACAGAGCCAUGUGGUGAGGGCGGCAUCGGGAAAAUAUUUCUACUUCAUCGUCUUCAAUGUCUUCAUUGGCUAUGCAGUUGGUUCCUCGUUGUUCAGCGCUUUGGAAAAAGUUAUCAAGAACCCUCCCGGGAUUUUUAUGACGCUUGCCACCAGGCUUCCUGGAACUGCAACUUUCUUCUUCACGUUCGUUGCACUCAGAUGCUUUGUCGGUUAUGGGCUUGAGCUCUCUCGUUUGGUCCCUCUCAUCAUUUUCCACCUGAAAAGGAAGUACCAAUGCAAGACAGAGGAGGAGGUGAGAGCGGCAUGGGUUCCAGGAAACUUGAGGUAUAACACCAGGGUUCCCAACGACAUGCUGAUCGUGACAAUUGUGUUGUGCUACUCCGUCAUCACGCCUUUGAUUUUGCCAUUCGGUGUUGCUUACUUUGCUCUGGGUUGGCUUAUAGCAAAAAACCAGGUUUUGAGAGUUUAUGUUCCGAGUUAUGAGAGCAACGGGCGAAUGUGGCCACACAUGCACACAAGGAUCAUUGCAGCUCUCAUGAUCUAUCAGGCUACCAUGAUUGGUAUCAUCAGCCUGAAAAAAUUCUACUAUUCUACCAUCCUCGCACCGCUCCUCGUGAUAAGCUUAAUCUUCGCCCACACUUGCCAUGCGCGCUUCUAUCCUGCAUUCGCCAAAACCCCUCUCGAGGUGGCAAGUCAGGAGCUGAAAGAGACGCCCAACAUGAGCGCCAUUUACACUGCGUACAUCCCUCCUUGCCUCAAGCCCGACAAGCUCCAAGAUGUGCAAGUCUUUGAAGACGCUCAGCCACGCACCACCUCCAGAGCCCCGUCCUUUUAA